rnacentral:rRNA from 1 species
UACGUGAGGUGCGAGCGUUGAAUCGAAUACUGGGCGUAAAGCGUGCGCAGGCGGUUCGUUAAGUUCGAUGUGAAAGCCCCGGGCUCAACCUGGGAACUGCAUUGGAAACUGGCGAGCUUGAGUGCGGCAGAGGGGGGUGGAAUUCCGCGUGUAGCAGUGAAAUGCGUAGAGAUGCGGAGGAACACCGAUGGCGAAGGCAGCCCCCUGGGCCGACACUGACGCUGAGGAGCGAAAGCCAGGGGAGCGAACGGG